rnacentral:rRNA from 1 species
UACGGAGGGUGCAAGCGUUAUCCGGAUUCACUGGGUUUAAAGGGUGCGUAGGAGGGCAGGUAAGUCAGUGGUGAAAUCUCCGAGCUUAACUUGGAAACUGCCGUUGAUACUAUCUGUCUUGAAUAUUGUGGAGGUGAGCGGAAUAUGUCAUGUAGCGGUGAAAUGCUUAGAUAUGACAUAGAACACCAAUUGCGGAGGCAGCUCGCUACACAUAUAUUGACUCUGAGGCACGAAAGCGUGGGGAUCAAACAGG